GAUGAACGCUGGCGGCGUGCCUAAUACAUGCAAGUCGAGCGAACAGACGAGGAGCUUGCUCCUCUGACGUUAGCGGCGGACGGGUGAGUAACACGUGGAUAACCUACCUAUAAGACUGGGAUAACUUCGGGAAACCGGAGCUAAUACCGGAUAACAUGUUGAACCGCAUGGUUUAACAGUGAAAGACGGUCUUGCUGUCACUUAUAGAUGGAUCCGCGCCGCAUUAGCUAGUUGGUAAGGUAACGGCUUACCAUGGCAACGAUGCGUAGCCGACCUGAGAGGGUGAUCGGCCACACUGGAACUGAGACACGGUCCAGACUCCUACGGGAGGCAGCAGUAGGGAAUCUUCCGCAAUGGGCGAAAGCCUGACGGAGCAACGCCGCGUGAGUGAAGAAGGUCUUCGGAUCGUAAAACUCUGUUAUUAGGGAAGAACAAAUGUGUAAGUAACUAUGCACGUCUUGACGGUACCUAAUCAGAAAGCCACGGCUAACUACGUG
rnacentral:rRNA from 1 species